rnacentral:rRNA from 1 species
AGAGUUUGAUCCUGGCUCAGGAUGAACGCUAGCUACAGGCUUAACACAUGCAAGUCGAGGGGCAGCAUGACCUAGCAAUAGGUUGAUGGCGACCGGCGCACGGGUGAGUAACACGUAUCCAACCUGCCGAUUAUUCCGGGAUAGCCUUUCGAAAGAAAGAUUAAUACUGGAUAGCAUAACGAGAAGGCAUCUUCUUGUUAUUAAAGAAUUUCGAUAAUCGAUGGGGAUGCGUUCCAUUAGUUUGUUGGCGGGGUAACGGCCCACCAAGACAUCGAUGGAUAGGGGUUCUGAGAGGAAGGUCCCCCACAUUGGAACUGAGACACGGUCCAAACUCCUACGGGAGGCAGCAGUGAGGAAUAUUGGUCAAUGGACGAGAGUCUGAACCAGCCAAGUAGCGUGAAGGAUGACUGCCCUAUGGGUUGUAAACUUCUUUUAUAUGGGAAUAAAGUGGGCCACGUGUGGCUUUUUGUAUGUACCAUACGAAUAAGGAUCGGCUAACUCCGUGCCAGCAGCCGCGGUAAUACGGAGGAUCCAAGCGUUAUCCGGAUUUAUUGGGUUUAAAGGGAGCGUAGGCGGAUUAUUAAGUCAGUUGUGAAAGUUUGCGGCUCAACCGUAAAAUUGCAGUUGAUACUGGUAGUCUUGAGUGCAGCAGAGGUAGGCGGAAUUCGUGGUGUAGCGGUGAAAUGCUUAGAUAUCACGAAGAACUCCGAUUGCGAAGGCAGCUUACUGGACUGUAACUGACGCUGAUGCUCGAAAGUGUGGGUAUCAAACAGGAUUAGAUACCCUGGUAGUCCACACAGUAAACGAUGAAUACUCGCUGUUUGCGAUAUACAGUAAGCGGCCAAGCGAAAGCAUUAAGUAUUCCACCUGGGGAGUACGCCGGCAACGGUGAAACUCAAAGGAAUUGACGGGGGCCC